rfam:Myotis davidii contig110769, whole genome shotgun sequence.
GGCAGUUCUCGGGUGAUGCACCCCAGAAUCAGGCUCCCUCCUCUCUGGGUCUGGGGUGCAUCACCUGAGAACCCCC